rnacentral:tRNA from 1 species
AGGGCUAUAGCUCAGUUGGUAGAGCACCUCGUUUACACGCCGAGAAAGUCUACGGUUCGAGUCCGUAUAGCCCUA